rnacentral:rRNA from 1 species
GAUGAACGCUAGCGGCAGGCUUAACACAUGCAAGUCGAGGGGCAGCAGGGACUUCGGUCCGCUGGCGACCGGCAAACGGGUGCGGAACACGUACGCAACAUACCUUUAUCUGGGGCAUAGCCCGGUGAAAACCGGAUUAACUCCCAUAGUAUUUUUGGUGGCAUCACCAGUUAAUUAAAAUUCAUUGGAUAGAGAUUGGCGUGCGUCCUAUUAGCUAGUUGGCGAGGUAAAGGCCCACCAAGGCGACGAUAGGUAGCUGAUGUGAGAGCAUGAUCAGCCACACGGGCACUGAGACACGGGCCCGACUCCUACGGGAGCAGCAGUGAGGAAUAUUGGUCAAUGGACGCAAGUCUGAACCAGCCAUGCCGCGUGAAGGAUGAAGGCGUUCUGCGUU